CGCGUAGGCGGCCUGUUAAGUCGAACGUGAAAUCCCCGGGCUCAACCCGGGAACUGCGUCCGAUACUGGCAGGCUCGAAUCCGGGAGAGGGAUGUGGAAUUCCAGGUGUAGCGGUGAAAUGCGUAGAUACCUGGAGGAACACCGGUGGCGAAGGCGGCAUCCUGGACCGGUAUUGACGCUGAGGCGCGAAAGCCAGGGGAAGGCAAACG
rnacentral:rRNA from 1 species